rnacentral:rRNA from 1 species
UUUAUCCUAUGGGAUGCAGCAGUGGGGAAUAUUGCACAAUGGGGGAAACCCUGAUGCAGCAACGCCGCGUGAGUGAAGAAGUAUUUCGGUAUGUAAAGCUCUAUCAGCAGGGAAGAAGAUGACGGUACCUGAAUAAGAAGCCCCGGCUAACUACGUGCCAGCAGCCGCGGUAAUACGUAGGGGGCAAGCGUUAUCCGGAUUUACUGGGUGUAAAGGGAGCGCAGACGGCAGUGCAAGUCUGGAGUGAAAGCCCGGGGCCCAAUCCCGGAACUGAUCUGGAAACUGUGCGGCUAGAGUACUGGAGG